AGUGAACGCUGGCGGUAGGCCUAACACAUGCAAGUCGAACGGCGGCACAGUAAGAGCUUGCUCUUACGGGUGGCGAGUGGCGGACGGGUGAGGAAUACAUCGGAAUCUACUUUUUCGUGGGGGAUAACGUAGGGAAACUUACGCUAAUACCGCAUACGACCUACGGGUGAAAGCAGGGGAUCUUCGGACCUUGCGCGAUUGAAUGAGCCGAUGUCGGAUUAGCUAGUUGGCGGGGUAAAGGCCCACCAAGGCGACGAUCCGUAGCUGGUCUGAGAGGAUGAUCAGCCACACUGGAACUGAGACACGGUCCAGACUCCUACGGGAGACAGCAGUGGGGAAUAUUGGACAAAGGGCGCAAGCCUGAUCCAGCCAUACCGCGUGGGUGAAGAAGGCCUUCGGGUUGUAAAGCCCUUUUGUUGGGAAAGAAAAGCAGCAGGUUAAUACCCCGCUGUUCUGACGGUACCCAAAGAAUAAGCACCGGCUAACUUCGUG
rnacentral:rRNA from 1 species